rnacentral:lncRNA from 1 species
GCUUAAGUAGACUAAAAUAUUGUUUAAAUAGACUUAAAUAGUUUAAAUCUUUCUUUGACUCAGAUCAAUAACUGGCACGUCUAUUCUCUCACCUCACUUUCUUUGUUUCUUUCUAGAGAACUUAAUCGGCCAUUGAAGGGCAACAUAAGGUCAUUCCUCUACAAAAGGAUGACAUCAUUUGCUGCCAAGCAAGCAAACAGUGAGAUGCAGUCGGUUGAUCCUUGCUCCAUUCCAUUGUCAAAGGAACUUUGGUUUACAUGGCCAACUUCAAAGUCAUCAUCAUCAUCAUCACCAUCAUCAUCAUCAUCAUCAUCAACAGCAGCAGCAGCAGCAGCAGCAGCAUACACCUAUACCAUACUUCUGUUAUGGAAACAAGUACUUACAACAAUGGAUCAUCUUCCUCCAUGCAUGAGGAAUCUGAUGAUUCACUUUUGACCUCCUCCAAAACUUGUCAAUCUGUUUCUCCACAUGCCAUCAUACUGAAUUGGGCUACUUCUACCAGA